rnacentral:rRNA from 1 species
GAUGAACGCUGGCGGCGUGCCUAAUACAUGCAAGUCGAGCGAAGCGGGGACGGGUGAGUAACACGUUGCUAACCUCCUAUCAGUCUGGGAUAACUUAGGGAAACCGGAGCUAAACCGGAUCCUUAUAGUUGGCUCCGUGCGGGAUUAGCUGGUUGGUAAGGUAACGGCUUCCCAAGGCAACGAUGCAUAGCCGGCCUGAGAGGGUGAUCGGCCACACGGGAACUGAGGCACGGUCCAGACGCCUAGGGGAGGCAGCAGUAGGGAAUCUGCCGCAAUGGGCGAAAGCCUGACGGAGCAACGCCGCGUGAGUGAUGAAGGUCUGAGGAUCGUAAAACUCUGUUAUUAGGGAAGCGGUACCUAAUCAGAAAGCCACGGCUAACUACGUGCCAGCAGCCGCGGUAAUUC